rnacentral:rRNA from 1 species
CCUACGGGUGGCAGCAGUGAGGAAUAUUGGUCAAUGGACGAGAGUCUGAACCAGCCAAGUAGCGUGAAGGAUGACUGCCCUAUGGGUUGUAAACUUCUUUUAUAUGGGAAUAAAAUGUUCCACGUGUGGGAUUUUGUAUGUACCAUAUGAAGAAGGAUCGGCUAACUCCGUGCCAGCAGCCGCGGUAAUACGGAGGAUCCGAGCGUUAUCCGGAUUUAUUGGGUUUAAAGGGAGCGUAGGUGGAUUGUUAAGUCAGUUGUGAAAGUUUGCGGCUCAACCGUAACAUUGCAGUUGAAACUGGCAGUCUUGAGUACAGUAGAGGUGGGCGGAAUGCGUGGUGUAGCGGUGAAAUGCUUAGAUAUCACGAAGAACUCCGAUUGCGAAGGCAGUUCACUGGACUGAAACUGACACUGAGGCUCGAAAGUGUGGGUAUCAAACAGGAUUAGAUACCCCGGUAGUC